GACGAACGCUGGCGGCGUGCUUAACACAUGCAAGUCGAACGGAAAGGCCCUGCUUUUGUGGGGUGCUCGAGUGGCGAACGGGUGAGUAACACGUGAGUAACCUGCCCUUGACUUUGGGAUAACUUCAGGAAACUGGGGCUAAUACCGGAUAGGAGCUCCUGCUGCAUGGUGGGGGUUGGAAAGUUUCGGCGGUUGGGGAUGGACUCGCGGCUUAUCAGCUUGUUGGUGGGGUAGUGGCUUACCAAGGCUUUGACGGGUAGCCGGCCUGAGAGGGUGACCGGCCACAUUGGGACUGAGAUACGGCCCAGACGCCUACGGGAGGCAGCAGUGGGGAAUAUUGCACAAUGGGCGGAAGCCUGAUGCAGCAACGCCGCGUGCGGGAUGACGGCCUUCGGGUUGUAAACCGCUUUCGCCUAUGACGAAGCGUGAGUGACGGUAAUGGGGAAAGAAGCACCGGCUAACUACGU
rnacentral:rRNA from 1 species